ensembl:lncRNA
AUAAGCAAUGGAUCCUUUUGUACGCACAGGCAACGUUUUGCUGCUGUGCAAAAUAAUAAGAAUCAUCGGAACCGAGGCGCGUGCUCUUAAAAGGGCAACAGCUCUUGCAUAUGUGUCAGUGCCAUAUAAACCAACUGAAGCAGCAAACAGUUCACCUUCUCCUUACAUAUCAGUUGAUAAGUGACUUAAAAGCAACUCUGCAGACUUCUUGUCAAGUGCUAUGGAAUUGCUUUACAACAACCAGUGUCGACCCUGAGACUCAACUCCACAAAACUGGCAGAGGAUACUGGGGCAGGAGGGCUGCUUUUUUCACUUGGCAGCCUCAUGACCUGCGUGAACACAAAGAGGUGACCGGCAUGAAAACAGGAUGAAAGUGCUGAUCACAUGACCAAAAAUACAAAAGGCACAAUGUUACCUAUACUCUCAGUUGAAUCAGAAUCACAAUGUUCUUUUUGACUGUGUGGUUAGAAACAGACAGGCCAGAUUCUGCUUUUUUUUUUUUUUUAUGAUGUUUGAUUCACAGUAUCACUGAAUAGCUAUUAUUAAUAGAUUUACCUCUUUAAAAGUGUAAAUGUAAACUAUCCCAUAUGGAAAUGUAAUAUAUGACAUAUAUUGUGUAUCAAGAGUGAUAUAUAAUGAUCACAUAUGUACAUUCUGAGGGUAGAUGAAGAUAUAACAUAUAUAAAAUUCCCCUAGUAAAAGUUAUAUGUACAUGUAUUAAUAAUAUAUGAUGAUUUUUAUAUGCCAUUAUGUGUUGCUGUCGACAAUAUAUACUGUCUGUCCAAAAAUGUAUAAUACAUACAUAAACAUAUUUGUACGGGCUGCAUAUAGAUGUUAAUAUAUGAAAUUGUUACAAUUUCUAAUAGGUUUCAUCUAUUUUUUUUUUAAUUCAUAUGACAAUAUAUUUCUUAUAUAGAAAUUUAUUAAAUUGGUAGUUGACAUGCAUGCGUAAUAUUUCAUGAAAUAGGGGCUACUUUUAAAGUGCAUUUUGCAAUUAUUUUAUAUUUAUAAUGCAUUUACCUUUUAUGACCUUAUAUUAAAAAAACUACACGUAAUAUUUGUACUUUUAAAAACUCCUUUAUGAUAUUGCAAGACAUAUUGCAAAAAAAAAAAAAAGGAUUUAAAAUUGUGCAAAAGAAAUGUGGAUUAGUUAUUAGUACCUCAGAUACACAGUUUCCUUUAUGUCUAAGGUUUAUCCUAAAAUCAUAAAGGUGAAAAAAAUAAAAGGUCCAGAGAAAUGUGAUAUGUGUGUGUC